AUGUCACGCCAUACGAAUGUGUGUUGUUGCAUCAGACAAUUUGAGUAAUAACUCGAAAACAAAGUUAAAAUUCAAACAGUUUGAUGUUAUAUCUUAAUAUUGUUGAAAUGCCACAUAGUUGACCCGAAGUUAUUAACUCUCACGGUGACAAACAACUUUUUGGGUCCGACCCUGAAAUUGGACCAAUCCGCACUUAGAAAGACAAGAAAUAUCCCUACAGGCACGUAGUAAUUAUUGAGUGGAGUUCUUGUGGAGAGAUUACAACUAUCUACAUCGCCACUAAAUCCCUUAUCGCUGUUGACGCCACAAUUUCUUGGCCUUUUAUUAUUUCUGUCUUGUGAAAACAGAAUGUUAUCGAAAUGAACUGUGUAGCAGCCGACGAUCGAAUUUCCUAUAUCCGGCCCAUAGAGCGUACGUGUUUCGACUUCCCUGCUUCUUACUGAUACAUGCAAGAGGAUCGAGUAGCUCCAUGGUGUGAUUGAAUAUGAUAUGAUGAGAUGAUAUGGAUUUUAGGUGCAUUUCCUAGAUCCAUCAUCACGCCAUCCAGUAGCUGCGAAUAUACUGCUUCCGGGAAACAAAUUAGGUCAUCCCCACCCAAUGAAGCAAAAGGAGAAAGGGAUUUCUUCUUAAAUCUAUUCAGAAAUGGUAGCAGACUGCAAAAAAAGAAAAUCGUCUCGAACUAAAGGUCCUUUAAGUUCGUCAGCAGAGGCUGGAACCGUACGGACCCACACGGUGACUCUAUGCUCUAAACUAAGAAAAAGAGCUUUAAGUCGAACGUUGUGAGAAUAAUCUACCUGAUCUUCUGCAGGGAUCAGUACCUGUGCAAAGGUAUUAGAAGAUCCCGGUCGACGCACGCCAUAUUGAAGCUGGACAUUGGCCCACUUCGUUCCGCAAUUUUUGACGUAGCUUUGCAAAUCCAAGCGGUAACCUCCGGAAUUGAAAAUAGUGCCAGCAUGUCCAUCGAUGGAGUGAGUUGGACGGAAGGUCUCCGCAAUAACUUGUUUGGCAAUUUUGAUCUCCUUGUGGCUCAGUUGGUACAAGUUGUCACCUCGAUCUUCGGUAACGAAGAACGUGAUGGUCGCAUCUACACGGCCAACUUCGUAAAUCAAUUUCCUUGCAGGAGCGGCUUUGUUCUUCCCUUGCUUUUUGGGAUUCGUCUGACUAUUGUAGACAAAGUCACGGAACUGUUGCAGACUCGGGUCGAGAACCUCUACGGCACCGUGUUUCAUCUUCAUGUUGAUAAACGUUGGUAAUAAACGUGCAGUCUUGAUGCACUUCUAUUGUACGAAAAGACUUGAUGUUUUCAUCACGGAAAGAUGUGGUAUUGCCAUCACGCGUAGGGUUAUCACGAAAUCGCCGGAUAAUAGACGGCCGUCUGUCGAGAGAAUCCCUUUGUUAAACGCAAUUUGAUGGGUUUGAAUUGACAUUUUAGCAUUUUUCAAAUCGGUUUUACCUUUCCACAGAUUAAACGAACAUUAUUCAGCCGGUUUUUUAUUUUAAAAGAAACGAUUUAUAGGUCAAUUUUCGCAUCAAGUCGGUUGGGUUGCGUAGGAAACCAAUCAAAGGUUUGCCAUUGUUUGAGAUUUGCGCGGACCAUUUCACCGCUGUACGUCGUUAAUCAAUUAAUUUGAUGUCUUGGCAGUAUAUUUUUUAUCUUUUUUUUUUGAACGUCUGGACAACAUAACAUAAAUAAUUUCUCGAUCAUCGGGUGGGUUACUUUUUCAUUCCUUGCAAAUAUUGUUAUAUUAUGAUAUUUUUUUUUUCUCCAUUAUU